rnacentral:lncRNA from 1 species
GUCUUGAUGGUUACUUAUUUUGUUUAAGGUAAGGCAAAAUGCCUAUGAUGACAAACUUAUUUGCCCAAUUAAAACUAUAUGGGUAGCAUCAGAUGACCUUGAGCUUGUGAGGGACCAUGACAUUGAUGUUGUUGUUCUUGUUGCCAACUAGUAGUGCAUGUUCCUUACUUAUGCUUGUGCUGUUCCUUAGCUAUUGUCCAUUCUGCCUAUGCUGUUAUUUCUGGUGACAUUGCUAUUGUUUCUGUUGCCAUUCUGCUACUGUUAUUGGUCUUAUUUUCCUGUUCUGUCACUGAUGCUCCAACCUCAAGAUCAAGUGGAGUUGAAAAUUACAUCUGAGGCUAUUUUUUUUAUAACUUACUAUAUCAGACUUGCUAGUUUACAGACAUAUACCUAUGCAUAUGGAGUUACCUAUCUUGGUUACCCAAGCAAUUUGAUGUUGUUGCCACCUAUCCCUUGGUACUGCUUGUCCAAGCUUCUGUUGUUUCUCAGAUGCUGUCCUGGGAUGGAUGCUCAAAGGUUGCUAUUUCUGUUGGCAGUCCUAGGAUGGUUUCUGUUGCCUCUGUUGCUAACUGGGUAACCUGUCAUGGAGAUGGUCAUAUUGUUUUUGUUGUCGACCUCUUUGGUACUGCUUGAUCUUGGUUGUUUCUGGUUGUGCUGUUGUCAUACUUGUAAUUCUGUUGUUUCUCAGAUGCUGUCCUGGGAUGGAUGCUCAAAGGUUGCUAUUCCUGUUGGCAGUCCUAGGAUGGUUUCUGUUGCCUCUGUUGCAAACUGGGUAACCUGUCAUGGAGAUGGUCAUAUUGUUUUUGUUGUCGACCUCUUUGGUACUGCUUGAUCUUGGUUGUUUCUGGUUGUGCUGUUGUCAUACUUGUAAUUCUGUUGCUUUUCUGUUGCCACUGUCUUACUAUUUGUGGUCUCCAAUUCAUCUAGUUGUCAUACUGUCAUUCUGUUCCAUGCUUUGUUUUCUCAUUCAUCUGUUGCUGCAAUUGAAUCAAGUUUCAAUUUGCUCCUCUUUGGUACUGCUUCAUCUUGGUUUUUUCUGGUUGUGCUGUUGUCUUACUAUUUGUGGUCUGCAAUUCAUCUAGUGUCAUUGAUGCUCCAAGCUCAAGGUUAAGACAACAUGCAAAUAACAUCUGAGGCCAAUAAUUUAAUUUCCACUUUUUGUUUUCUCAUUCAUUUGUUGCUGCAAUUGAAUCAAGUUUCAUUUUGUUCCUCUUUGGUACUGCUUGAUCUUGGUUUUUUCUGGUUCUGCUGUUGUCUUACUAUUUGUGGUCUGCAAUUAAUCUAGUGUCAUUGAUGCUCCAAGCUCAAGGUUAAGAGAAGAUGCAAAUAACAUCUGAGGCCAAUAGUUUAAUUUCCACUUUUUGUUUUCUCAUUCAUCUGUUGCUGCAAUUGAAUCAAGUUUCAUUUUGUUCCUAAGGCACAAUGGCUUGGUACGUUGUGUACCGUGGUAGGAAACCUGGAGUUUAUGCAACUUGGGUAACCUGUCAUCAGCAGGUCACCGGUUAUCCAAACUGUUGCUAUAAGAGUUUUAGUUCGAAAGAGGAGGCAAUUGCAUCUUUUCUAGAGUGCACUGGUGACGGAGAUGUCGAUAUCAAAGAAGCGACCGACGGUUCAAAAAACACGGCAACUGAAGUUAGUUGGGUCCAUAUCGUAGCCGGGCUACAAUUUAUAAUUAUUAUUGUACUCCUACUACUAGUCUAUUAUCUUUGGAAGUAGUCAAGCACGAGAUUAGUCUUUGUAAUAUUAAAACAUCUCAUGUUCAUCUCAUUGUUGGUAACCUCACCAAUAUGGUGCUAGGGUGCUCCGACCUCAUCCUGUUCUCUGUACCAAACACAAGCUAGUGACUCCUGUCGUACACGAGAGCGAUACAACCAGAACAACCAAACACAACCUCGCAUGAUUCAGGACGACAGCAAAAUGCAACCAAACAAACCUCCCUGUAUCACUCUAUUCCGUCUCCCACGAUCCAGAACAACCGGUCCAUUCUGGACGGUCCGGACCGGAGCAACCAAUCACGCCCUUACUGGAUAAUGAUAACAGAGUUUGGAUGGACUUGUUCGCAGGCUUUGGGCCGUUUGGGGGGCUUCCUUCAUGCUGUCUCGACUUACAUGGGCCUUGCAAAGAAUUUUGGGCCAACUUCGUUGGCUUGGCUGACCGGUGAUGAAAUUAGUUUUCCUUGAUAGCAUGACUGAGAAAGCAACGAAUACUGCAAGUCAAUUGAUUAUUGAUUAACGGACAAUGUAAUAAAAAAUCAGUUAUUUUCUCAAAUUUUAGAUGCUUCAGUUGAGAUUUGUGUGUUAAAACUGUCUGGUUAGCGAAAUUUCUUCAAAGAAAAAUAAAGAAAUGAAGGAAAUAACAUAGAUUUGCCUCAAUAUAGGUAAGUUUCUUUACAAGAAUAUAACUACUACUCUCUAAGUGUAGUGGUGGUUAUGCAUGUGCUGCAAAUUGAAGAGUUUGGACUUUCGAAAUGGACAAGCUGACUGCCAAGAACUGUGAUUUAAUUACAAGUACUUAAUUAGCUACUAAAAGUUAUCAAUCAGGGGUACCAAAUCAAGGUUACAUUAUAUGACCUGGCCUUUUGACGUAAUCCAAGUUAGCACCUUUCUGCUGGCUAGGAUCAUGCACAUGGCGGUCACCAUUGUUUCCGACUAACAAACCCACAUGCCAAUGUAUGAUAACACGAUCGGAAUUUCCAAAUAAUACAAUACGUACAUGGUCAAAUGAGUCAUCAUAUUCUCUCAAUAUAGUAGUAUUAUAUAUUCGCUUGAAUUUAAGUAUCUGAUGAGUAGUAAUCCUCAAUUAAAUCCAUGUCUGCACCAGUCAAACCAGACGCCACGCAUCGUUCUGACAAAUUUUGUCGGUGUCUGAAUAAAAUAUAUUGAUCUUGAAAAAAAUUAGAUUUCAAUUCAUCAUCGAUCAAUGUGCAUUUAUGGAUGCUCAAAUCACACUGUUAUCGUAAUCAAGCAGGCAGCUCAUUCAGAUUAUAAUAUUUUCUUGCGAAAAAUACUAUUAACAUAUCUUGAAUGUUUUUUCACUGUUUGAUUCAAUUGAAUAUUUUGCAUUUGUUUAUGAAAAUAUUAAUACAAUAAGUUAAGUUAAACCGUACGUGCUUGUGUUUAAUUUGCAGGGUAAUUAAUUAAGCUAGUCGCUGUUGUAGGAGGCAGGCAGGCAUGUGGCUUGUGAUGUGCGAUACAACAAGGCGCAGUUGGGCGCACAUCACACGAUGAAUUCAAAAAAAAAAAAAGAAGAACAUGCAUACACACAUCUAAACCUUACAUGGAUGCCUGCAGGUUCACUGAACCCUGCAGGGAUCAAAUUAAUAGAAUGGAAUAUGUAAUGAUAAUGCUGCUUCCUAGGUUCAUGCAGCUACCCUCUCAUCUCCUAGCAAAGCAGAUCGAGCUAGGGAACACCAUUUGCAAAAGAAAAAAAAUGUCCAUUUUGUAAUCUUCAUCUAUAAGCCAAAGUCUAGCUUCCAAUGCAACCAGCAACUAAUAAGAAGCCAUUCCCUUUUCAACUCCAAACUAAUAAAACUGAGCAUUAAUUCCGGCCCUGCUAGUUUAGAGCAGCUUGUUGAAGUCAGUAAAUAAUUUUUAAGAAAUAUGAAAAAGUUUUUGUUGCACAUGUAUGAUUAGGCUCCUUGAACUUUGCUACUAAUAGCAUAUACGAAGAUUAUGUACACUGUUAAUUACCAGUGAUAAUUUUUAACUAGCCGGUUAAUUUACAGACAUGAAAGGAAAAUGAAGGUGGAAGUGAACUAAAGCAUAUGCAUGCACCCUUGAGCAGCCAUGUGCUCCCACAGUAAUUAACAGACGCUGAGGCAGCGAUUAAUUAGAUGCUGCCGGCGUCACCCAGCGAUUAGAUGGGUGGUGACCGGUGAGAUGCCAACUACAACAAAUUAGAGAGAGCUCUCCAGGCCGGCUAUAAGUAGACAGCUGCUGCUGCUGAUGGAAGCCGUAAGGCGCCGUAGCCAAAAAUAUAAGCAAGUCCCCUGCCUCUCGAUCCUUCUGCUAGCUAGCUAGCUCGCGGUUGUGUGUUGUGUCUUGUGUGUGUGAGGAAGGAUCGAUCGAUCGUCGGGCUCGGAGCUGAGGAAGAAGAAGAAGAUGUACGGCGGCGGCGGUUGCAGUCCGGACGACGACAGGAUGGUGUGGAACGACAAUAAUAAAAAGCUGGCGACGAAGCACAUCAAUGGAGGCGGCGGCGAGGAGGCAACAGCAAAAGGCGAGAAGCGGAAGCUGCGGCGGUCGGUGUCGAUGACGACGGUGGGUGGGCGUCUGGCGAGCGCGGCGAAGGAGCAGCGGGCGCGCCUCUACAUCAUGCGCCGCUGCGUCUCCAUGCUCGUGCGCUGGAAGGACUGACUGUUUGGGCUGCUGUGGGUGUGGGUGUGUGUAUGGGCCAGGCCCAUCAUGUUUGGGCUGCUGCUGGGUUGCUUUGCUUUUGCUUUUCGAGAGAGAGAGAUCUGAGAUGGGCCUCCGUUGUCGCAAUUCUGUCUGUUGUAUUAUGCUUGGGCCGUUCAUUGCGUACGUAGGUGCGUUGGCCGUCUGAAUUAAUCAUCUCAAUCGGCUAUUCUCUGUGCGAUCCAAUCGGGGUUUUAAUUUCUUGGUUUACAGCAACGUAACCUACCCAUAUAUAGCUAGCUACCUAGGUGCAACGACGGAAGUGGAAUAAUGGAUCCACCGUACAAACAGAUUUGUGAAUGGAAAGAGAUAACACUUGGAAGUUGUGGAAAAAUAAUGGGUUACAGUGACCCGUGAGCCACUUUACAUUCCGAAAAUGUGCUUUCUCAAACGCUACAUUCCUAGUAUAUGCUGUACAUAAAGGUCACUGGAGGGUAAUGUGUACAAAUUGAAUUCCUCCGCGUAGUGACGUUUCUCACACCUCCAUCCCUCUAACCUUGGGACUUCGCCUUCAUGCCAGAUCAACUUGUUAGCUUCGUAUCAUCACCCUCAGCCCGAGAUAAAUGCCCAACCUCGUGGCGCCCGUUAGCUCCCCUAUAAAAGGUGGGGUGCGGGUCACUCAGGGCUACCCUCGCAUCUUGCUGUGAGUUUGCGCGCUGUUUGCUGGUGCUUUGAGAUUCGUGCUUUCCUCAGUUGUUUUUGUCCGUCUUCAUAGCUUCGAAGGUAUUGUUCUUAUGCAUAUUUUUCAUUCUUGUUUAGCUCUAUUGUUUUGCUUUGAUUUAUUGUUUAUGUGUUAUUCAGCUGACUCGAAUUAUGCAAACCGUGAGAUUGAUGACUCCUGAAGAAUUAGCAUUGCAUGGUCACGCUCCCGAAGGACAAGAGCCUCGCGAGGGUUCUGAUCAUCUGGAGGAAAUCAUGCCAUGUGUCCACAUGCUGGCCAUUGAUGUCUAUGGAAAUUACGCGGUCCAGAAGGUUAAGUUUCUCCAACUCAAUCCAAUAUAUUUGCGGCAUGGUUUCUAUUUAACUAGAAUUUGCAUUGUGAAGCAUGUACAAGAAUAUAAUAAAUUGAGCAUCAAGUCCCGUAUUAAUUAAUCCAUUAUUUGUUUCACCAUCAGGUUCUUGAGUAUGGACCGGAAUCUUACAAGAGGAAGCUCAUCGGCUAUCUUAUUGAGCAUGUGUUACCUACCCCUAAGCUUUCAUAUGUAUGGUUGCCGGGUCACACAGAAGGUAAACCAAUAUUUCAUAUUCGAAAAUGCAUGUGUGUGUGUGUGUGUCUUGUUCUGUUCCUGUGUCAGAGAGUGUUUUCCUACUGCAACAACCUGGAGAUCUACGACACGUUGGCGGCAGAGAUCAUCGAGUCUGUUAACAAGCUGUCUCGAGAGAAAUUUGCAAACUACGUGGUGCAGUACCUGCUGGAGCACGGCGGCCAAGCUAAGCGGUCCAUGAUGGUGAGCAAUUUUGCCGGGUACGUCGUGAGCAUGAGCUACAACAAAUUUGCCUCCAAUGUGAUCGAGGCAUGCCUGACCUUCGGGAGCCAGGAGGACCGGCAGCUCAUCACCAACGAGAUCAUCACCAGGAAGAUGGUGUCCGUUGCGGAGGAGCAGCAGGUGGGCGUGCUAGCUGGUGGAUGUGGCCAGAAGCAACGUGGCCUAUCUAGUCUGAUGAGGUUUAAGUAUGGCGAGCACGUCAUUGCCGCCAUCGAGAGCUUCCUCAGCGCCAAGGGUAAGACGCAUUCCCUGCCAAGCUAGAUGUUCCUCAGCACCAGCAACGCUAACUCAUGACAUGGCUCCUCCUCCACUCCCGCCCCAGUGAGAUCUGGCUGCUGCUAACUGCCUAGCGAAGAAGACGAAGAGGAGGGAGACUGCUGCAUCAUCCAUCUUGUACCGUGUCGUUGGAUCGAUCACUACUUAUGAAUUAACGAUCAGGUUUCAGGACUUGGAUCGAAUCGAUGGAAUGUUUCCUUCGUCGAUCAUCCCAACAGCAUACUGUGACUGCUGUCAGAUCAGAUGCUGCAUCAUCGAUGGAAUGUUAGCUGACUGACUGACAUGCAGUGACCGUUGUGGUAAACUAGUUGUUAUAUAUGUCAUUACAUGAUCGAUUAGGUUCAGAUGCUACACGUAUAUAGUCUAUAACUCUGAACAAAAAGCUUAAAGCACGAACAGAAGAUACAUAGAGCACAAGGGAACAUGCAUGGAUGAGUGUACUAGCAGAUGAUGAACUAUUUAUUUCCUGGAUGUGGGCGGCGGGCAGAAGGUGAUGAGGUAUCGGCUGGCCUUGCAGCGGUUGAGGGAGGUGGCGUCGUCGUAGGCGUAGCUGUAGGCCUUGGGACAGACGGCCUUGAAGACGUGGGCGAAGAUGGUGGGGCGGCACCUCUCCGGCGACGCGUAGUCCCCCGUGCAGCAGUACCUGUCGCCUCCCAUGGCCCUGCACGCGCUCCGGCACCCGGCCACCUUCCCCUCCCUGUCCCUCACCUCCAGCGCCGACGGGCAGCAGACGUUCAUGUCCGCCUGGCACCCGGCCACGCCGCACCCAGCGCCGCCGCCCACCGGGGACAUGGACACCGGCGCGUUGAAACCGUCCACCAGCGACACGUCGUAGAAGUGCAGCGCCGACCUGGGGGUGCCCAGCGUCAUCUCCACCACGGUCGCCGGCGUGGCGCCGGGGCGGCCGUCGCACCGGAGCACGCCGCCGCAGUCGCCCGUGGCGCAGCUGCCCCGCCCGCGGUCGUCGAAGGAGCAGCCGCGGCGAGGCCACACGCGACCGGACCAGCCCAGCGGCACGUCGAAGGCGGUCUCGUCGCCCGGGGCCAGGUGGAAGCCGCCCGACUGCGGUGUCGGGUGCCCGGCGGUGCCCAGCAGGCCAGGCCAUAUCGACUCCGCGCAGUUGUUCACCAAGAUCAGCUGGAUGCCGCCGCCACCACCACCACCACUCGCGCUAGUCACUAGUAACGCCGCCAUGGACAGGAAAAUGCUGAGGAGCUGGAGCUUAGCCAUGGUGCUCUCCUGAUCUGUCAGCUAUAGCUGCUGCUAAUCAUAUCGAGUCUGCGGUGCUUAUAUGCAUCUGCAAGGUGCAAGAUGCUACUCUACGAAGAGGAUUGUUAUUCAUCGCUACACACAGAAAAGAUACAAAAGAUGCAAAGCAUUGCGCCGGCCAGGAGCGAGCUAUUACUUAAGUAGUGAUCUUAUCAUCAGCUUUGGCAACUAAAAAGUUUUGAUUCUGGCAAUGCAACAAGCAGUGUAGUGGCUCCCAUGAUUCUGUCGAGCCCCGACUCGAUCGUAUCGAUCGUGCAGUUAAAGAUAGAUGCCAGAAUAUUACACAAGACAGAAUUGUGGUUUCCUGCUUGCAUUAGUUGUACUUGCCUCGCUCUAAAGUUUUUCAGGUAAAAUCUGAUGAAUUAGUUUAUACAGGAUUUUUUUUCCCACCAUGACGCCAAUGUAGACUAUAUAGCAGUCCAUGUAGGACAGAAGUCAGUAGCAGCUACCAUACUACCAACAAUGAAGAACUACUCAGCUUCUUCAGUCAGUCAGUGAUGAACUUCCUAUACAUGCAACCGACAUAUACAUUAUACCUGCUGACAUAAAGGUCAGAGAAAGCAAAUUAAAGGAGAGGAACUGCUGGCAUAAAGUGGUGUGUUGCCCUCCAACUUAGGACGUCCGGAAGGGAUUGCAAUGCAAUCUCAGGAUCUAUUCCUUGCUUUGGACUGGGGUUAGCUUCUACCUCGCGUAUGCAUAUAUAGUAUUUGGAUAACCAAAAGAAUGAGCCCAGCAGCAAGUUGAUGCACGGAUCGGACACUUUCCUUCCUACAAGGAAUAUCUGCCUGCUCCUCCAUCUCUUUUGCUUUUCCAUCGCCAUGCUUUUGUCGAGGCAAUCUUGUGAAAAGGGCAAGUGUGUUGCUUACACAUCUGAUGAAAUCAUCAUGCAUGUUUGCUACUGUUAUGAACCUUGCUUGAAGGGCCAAAUUCCAGCUUGACCGGCCCGCUGACAAAUUGGGCCUCUCAAUUCUAGAGUACUUUUGGCCCAAAGUAUAACCUAUAGUACUUUGCUCACUACUAAAUAGUGACUAGUAUUCUCAUGAAAGGAAAUCAACAAAGUAAGGUGGCCAACGUAAAUUACACAAGAGAUUUAUAUAUAAUGAAAUGAUCCACACAUAGUUCCUUGUACAAAAGAUUAAGAAAAAAAGAAGGCUGAAAACUAAACAGCACGCACAACACAAAUACAUGUGCGUGUGCUUGCAGUUGCAUUGUAGUGAUAAGCAACCAAUGCAAGGAGAUUGCAAUGAACGAAUGCAAUAGCUAAUACUAUAUAGUACAGUAGUAGUAGUACACACAGGUAGCUAGUUAAUGUGCAGGUAAUCAAUAAGUUUGUGGGAUUAGCUAGUUAAUUACUGGUAGUAAAUUAAGUAAAGGAGCAGUAAAAUUAAGAGUAAUGUGUGUGAGAUGUACGCAUGUCUUGAUGAUGCAUCUCGUGUGUGUACUUGAUUUUAAUUUGGUGCGUCAAUUAUUACCACCAUCGUCGUCCUGUGUAGUAGCAGUGCUGCCUUCUUGGGGUGGUGGUGUUGACGAUCCUCCGCCGAACAAGCGACGACGGCUAACCGCCGACCUGUUGAUGGCCGUAUUGUGUGUCACUGAAACUGGGCUACACUGCUGCUCGAAAUCCAAGGAGCAGGAUGCGUAGAUUGCCUGCAUCAUCCUCAAGCACUCAUCGGCGUCUUUCUCGUCCUGCAUUGCAUGCAUGCUAGUAUUAUAUUGAAGAAACAAAAAUGCAGUACUGAUCUACUGUACAUAGUUGAACGGAGGUAGGUGCUGAAGAAUGAUCGAUGGUUUACCGUUGGGCAAUGUGGACGAACAAGGCGGCUGAUGAUGUCGCCGUGCAGCAGUUGGUGACGAUCCUGCUCCAGCUGGUUUACGCACCGAAGCGCGGAGGCGGCGAUGACGGAGGGAUCGAAGCGGAGGAGCAACGAGGGCUCUGCGAGCGAGCGGAUGAGGAGGCGAGUUGCGCAGCGAGCGGUGGUGGCCGUAGUAAUAAUGAGCUGGAGGAAGGAGUAGGGCGUGACGCAGGCGAGGCGCCAUUGGAGCGCCUUGAGCAGCGCGAGCUCCAUGUCCCGCACCGUCGCCGCCCGGAACCAGUGCCCAAGCACCUCCUCCAUCUGCAAAUAAUCAUUUAUUCAGAAAAAAAAUGUCAUGCAUACAAGCAAGCAAGCAUGGGCAUGUGAAUGCAUGCAAUGCGGUCAUGUACGUAAUAGUACCUGGAGAUCGUGGAGCGAUGGGAUAUUGACUUCGUCCAGCUUGCACGCGAUGGACAAGCAGGCCACGCUCACCAGUUCAACCAUCCACGCCUCCUCCCACUUCUGCUUCAUCAAUUCAUUCAGUCGUUCGUUGCAUUGCAUCAAGAUCGAAGAAGAGGAGGAGGAAUGAAUGAAAUGAACUCGUCAUCCGGCAAGCUAAGCUAGCUGCAGAUGAUUACUUACCAGAUGGCAGUUGAUGGAGAGGAAUCUGUCCAGAUAGUUGACUGCGUUGAACGCCGUGGCCGCCGCCAGCCCCAACCGACCAAAUGCCUUAGCAAAUUGAAUUGCAUUCGUCAGAAAUUUGAAGCAAUAAUAGAUGGAGAUAGAUAACGUGUAAUUGAAAAAGAUCAAUUUAAAGAUAAUUACACAUUAUUACAUAGAUGAUGUAGUGCACUCCUCUUGAGCGAGCGGCGGCCACACCUGCUGCACCCUGCUGCCGCCGCAGAUGCUCCAGGUAGCCUCUGCUCGGCGCGUAGCAUCCCUGCCUGCCCACCAUGUGCUCCAACAACGCAAGAACCUCCUCCUGUUCUGCUGCACCUAAUUCCUCCUCGUCUCCUCCGACGACUGACGCCGCCGCCGCCGCCACCGGCCCGCCACCAUUACCAUCAGCUGGAGGAGGCGUGGAGACAAGGAGAGGGUCCUCGUCGCAGUAGAGAAGAUCACUAGCGUCGUCGUGGAGCAGCAUGCUCCCCUCCUCGUCGUCUUCCAUCCCUACCGGCCCUACAUAUGGUAUGGCUCUCCCCGGCCGAAUCGAAUCAUCCAUCAAUCGAUCGACGAUCCGGCCCCCUGUAUAUACAUGGCAAGAACGGAACGGAUCGGAGGAGUUACCCUGCUCGUGCGUACGUCGUGGAUGGUGGAUUGGUGGUUGGUGCCUUAAAGCCCGGGAGAGCAGCCUCAUGACCAUCCAUGACCGCCGUGUAGGCUAUAGCUGCAUGCAUGGCCAUGGCCGGCCGCCCGCGCGCACUCAAUGCAUCAUGCAAUCCGUCCUGUACGUACUGCAUACUCCUAGCUGGUGUAUAUAGCAGGAUCGACGCGCAUCCACGUACGUACAUCCACUUGCUCUGCCAUCACGUACGUGCAUGCAUACCAAGAAUCAUGCACUAUUGUGCAAUCAGCCAGGAAAUACUUAAUGCGCCCGGCCAUUCAAUGCCAUCCAUCCAUCUACCUGGAAGAACCAAGCUGCUGCUGUCGUUUAAUGCUUGCAUGCAUUCUGUUCCUUCUGACCGCCGCCGGAAAAGGAAAUAUCACCGACGUACUGCCAUGGCAGGCAGUCAUUCAGUGUCAGUACGCCAGUCUAACUCAUAUCAGCUUGCUGACCAGACCAACAACGCCCAUCCAUCCAUUUACACCGUACUUAGCUUUUACCAUUACAAUCCCUCUAACGUGCAUGUACUCAUGUAGUACAUACUAGAACAAGCCAUAUAUCAUCGAUAUAAAAUAAUCACUGGGAUUCAAAAAUAACGACGUCUGCCUAAAAACAACAAUAAUGUCGUCUACUUCAUAUAUUAUAUAUAUGUAACCUAAAAUUUACUUUUGGCAGUGUUGUCACAGCUUAUUAUUGUUCAACCCUCCGGACCUUUUUUUUUCAUCUUUUCCCUCCCCCAACCCCUAGGACGCAGGACGGGCGCUUUGUGUAUGUGUUGGCUGCAACGAGUGGGGAUGUACGGCACGCGAUGUGCGAGGGAUCACAGGGAGAGGUCUCGUUACAUAUGCAGGUGUUUGGUUCCAUGGACUAAAGUUUAAUCCCUAUCAUAUUAAAUAUUUAGAUACUAAUUAGGAGAACUAUAUAUGAUCUAAUUAUAAAACCAAUUGCACAGAUGAAGGUGAAUUCGCGAAACGAAUCUAUUAAAUCUAAUUAGUCCAUGAUUUGGCUGCAACGAGUGGUGAUGUAAGGCACGCGAUGUGCGAGGGAUCACCAGGAGAGGUCUCAUUCCAUAUGCAAAGCUGAUUAACUAAGGUCAAAGGGGUCAGUAUGGAAUUAUGGAAUGAGAGCUUGGAAAUCUUGGUUUCACUCCUCGCUAAUGCACUUCCACGGCUUGCCAGAGGUACACCCCUAUUUAGUCAGUCGCCGUGAUGUUGCUUGGGGACACCACUACGUGCGAGUGCGCUACAACUCUAUCUAAGGAUGCGUGAAGUUGGAAAAUUGCAUGCAGGGUUAGGGAUUUGAGAAAGGAAAAUUGAUUUUGGGAUAAUCAAAUAGGGAGAUGUGAGAGCCUGAACCUGAGUGGGAUGCGAUGCGAGCCAUGAUGAAAGAAGUUGUUGUGUCCACAGUUGGCACUUUUGGUGGAACGAAUUAGGACUUAGCAUGGAUAAGGCUGGUUGUCCAAGAUGCAUGUAGCUUGUUUUAUAUCAGGGAAACAAGAAUAGCUGAAUAUCUUCCAAUACAUUAGUAUACACAUGUAUAUAGCACAUACAUAAUUGAUUCUUACUGGAAAAAUCUUGGAUAUUCCCGAGAACACAGAGGCAUCAACGUGCCUCCGCCCCUGCCGUAUCCUCUCUCUUUUGAGGAGAGUGAGAGGGAUAAAAACACUACUAGGAAAAAUGCGAUUAGUACCGGUUAGGAAACCCCUUUAGUACCGGUUUCGCAACCAUAGUUCGGUACUAAAUGUUGGAGGUAUGCCCUAGAGGCAAUCAUAGAGAUGAUGAUAUUCCAUUUGUAUCCAUGAUUUGUAUAUUGUGUUCAUUGAAUAUCCAUUAAAGGCUACUUGAAUUGAUUUGCAAUUAUGUGAAUUGUAUGUGAAACUCUUUACUUGUAUGGUUAUUCUAAAGUUGUCCCUGGUCGGAGUUCAUGUGAGGACACACAUGAAUAUUAGACUAGCACAUGUAUUAGUUGAUGACUAUGUUUCACAAGUCAUGGACAUGGAGAUGUUGAACUAAUAAUGUGGACACAUGUGGAGACAUGUGUUAGGACUGACCCAACACGAGAAGUAGUUCUCUCUUUAAACAACAUAUACGCUUUGUCCUUAGACCUGAGAUUGUCGCAUGUAUUCUAGAUGUGGAUUGACCUACUUAGGGGCUAUCAAACGCUACACCGUAACAGGGUAGUUAUAAAGGUAGCUUUCGGGUUUGUCAAGAAGCAUGCUAUGAGACAUGGUCAAUCAAGAUGGGAUUUGCCCCUCUCUGAUUGAGAGUGAUAUCUCUGGGCCCCUCGAGUGAUCGGAUCCGAAAAUGCAUGGCCAUGCUACGUACGGUUAAGAGUUAACCUACAAAGGGAUUCCGAAUCACAGGAUCGAGAAAGAGCGGUCGGCUUGAAGCUAGACCAAAUAUCGUGAGGCAAAGGGAAUAGCAUGUAUAUUAUGUUGUGAUGGUUCGUCUGAUAUGAUCUUCGUGUGCGUAUAGGAGUUGGCACGUCUUGCUAGAGGCCGCUACCGACUAUUGGACCGAGUAGGAGUACUCGGGCCAUGUCUAUACGUAUCCGAACCCAUAGGGUCGCACACUUAAGGGGCUGGAAGCCCAAUUCGGAUCUGAUCCGAGUUGGAUUAGGUUUAGGAGUACUAAUGGGCCUCGGAUCCAGAGGCCCGUCAGGAACCCCUAUAAAUAGAGGGGUGGGGGCGCCCUAGGGUUUACACCUUUUGGCUGAACACACUUGCCGCGCCUCCCACGCCCUCGCCUGUUGCAACUCGCGGAUCUAGCAGUCCGGCUUGCGACGCUUCCUCCCUGCACGUGUGGAUACCUUGGAGGUGUUGCGCCUGCAGCACUUGGACGAGCCAUCGACGAGCCGCCGACGAGCCACGACGAGCCGACGACGAGCCGCGGCACCGGAGGCGAUCUUGCUGUGCACGUGGACGAGCUGCUGAGGAGCUGCUGGACGUGAUCGACUACGUACAACUACGUUGAUCGACUACGUACGACUACGUGAUCGUCUUCACUGCACCGACGCAUAUCUACAUCUUCCGCACCAGUAGUGCGUCGAGUGGUAAUCCCGUGAUCCUCAUACAGCAGUUCUUCCUGGUUAUACGCGGUAGAAAUUUUGAUUUGCGCUAGCGUAGCCUACCUCGUAUCCCAACACUAAAGGGGGACCUUUAGUAACCGGUACUAAAGGAAUAUUAAAAAAUAAAAAAAAUUGAAAUCCCCACUGAGGCCUCGCCGGCCCUGCCCUCCCCGGUCCCCGCCCCGCCGCCGGCCCUCGCCGCCCCCCAGCCACCUGCCCGCCGCCGCUCCGCGCCCGCCCACCGCUCCGCUCCCACCUGCCCGCCAUCACUCUGCGCCCGCCCGCCGCUCUGCUUCCGCCCGCCCGCCACCACUCCCGCCAUCGCCGCCACGCCCCGAUGGCCGCCGCCGCCGCGCCUCGCCCCGCCACCGCUCCUCACCUUAGGCACGAGGUGAGGGGCGAGCGGAGGGAGGAGGAGAGGGGAGGCCGGGGAGGGAGGGGGCCGGUGGAGGGAGGAGGAGGGGCUCCUGGAGGGAGGGAGCUGAGGGAGGAUGAGGGAGGCGGAGGGAGAGGAUAAGGUGCUAAGGCGUGCGGGAGAGGAUAAGGUGAGGGAGCUAGCGUGCGGCAGAGGAUAAGGUGAGGGAGGCGGAGGGAGGGAGAGGAGGCGUGGAUGGUUUUAGUACCGGGUGGGAAGCCCACACGGUACUAAAGGGUAAAGGGGGGGUCAAGGGGGGCUCCUCGGGGACUAUCCGUUAGGCUCGGUACUAAUGCUCAUAUUAGUACCGAAUCAAAAUGCAACCGGUAUUGAGUCUCGGGAUGAAUGCUCAUUUUUCUAGCAGUGAAAGGACUGAGAAAAGAUAAUUGGGAAAGAUGAUUAGUUGGAGCUGUAAUGUUUGGCCUUAGAAGAUUAAGGAAAAAAAAAGAGAUUGGGAAAGGAGGACAGGUGGAAAAUCGUAGGCAAGAGAAAGAAAUGGACAGAGGUACAUGGGCUGCAGAUUAGCAAAGUGUGCGCUGUCCUUUGUUGCACAGGUUCUCCUCAGAGGCCCAACGCUAGAGAGGCCAAUAUCUAGGCCUGCGGAUCAAAUUCCCCAACGGGCCUCAGCGAAUAAAGCUGGGCUCGGUAAUUGGGCCUCCUCUUGGUCCAGCAACGCUUCCGUAUCUCACUCAACAGAUCGAAUCGUAGCCGCAAUCUCCCGAUCCAACGGUCAGAAAUACCCCAGGCCGGGACGGUAAGUGAAAUACCGUUCACCCCGAGCCUCUCUGGCGCGCGCCACGGUGCUCGCCGCGCCGUCGCGCUCGGCAUCGCCGGCGCCCGCGACGCAGCAGCACCCUCCCCUAGUGUCAUCUCAGCAGCCUUCGGCCCCGCCUGCUCCCCUUGCCGCGCUCCUCCACUCGCCUCCACUUGCGGCGGCCGAUGUCUUCCCGCGCCGCCCGGGGCGACACCGCGCAGCCCCGUCGCGCUGCGCGGCUGCCUGCUGGUGUGUGGCAGGUGGCGAGCAGUUGGGCAACCGAUCAUCGCAUCGCCGGCCGACUGGCGUGCUUGGUCUGGAUCUGCGUCUUCUUCCUCUGUUUCCUUCCUUCCUUCUUCUAACGGCACCCUGCCUGUACUGUGCGCAGGUCGAAAUCAGUGCUCGCGUUGCGCUGCAUGCUGGGUGUUUGUCAGAAUGCCUGCCUGGCGUCCUCCCUUUUCAGCAGCAGCACUAGCUAGCUGGGGCUGAGAGAAGCAAGGGCACCCGAUGGCCUGCCGUCCCAGACCAUGCAUUUUCAUCUCCUCCAAUCGGUACAUUCUCGUCCUCACACCAAAAUUGAUGGAUGGAUUUGAUGAUCUCGAAUAAUUUCAUUUGGCUGUCACAUCCAUCUCGUUCUAGUGCCUUCCAGUGUGCAGCAGCAUCAACCUUAGCUAGAUCAGUAAUUUACGGAUGCUUUUGCAUUCAGGACAAAACUACAGUUGCAUUGUGCCCACAAAGCCUGCCAUAACUUGCUUGUUCAGUUAACAACCACAAACACAUAUCAAAUUUUGUGAAUCACAUAGUGUGAAUGUUCCAAGGAAACAAACACUGCCACCAAUAAUGUUCUUGCCUGCUUCUUGAAAACAUAUAUAGUUAAUAGCCAGUGCUGCCCCCAAAAUUGUGUGGCUGCGAGUUGUAAUUCUGAAAAUGAGCUCAUGGAGCUCUUCUUCCGAUAUAUCUUUCCAUGUUGGACUGUUGGUAAUGGGCUUGGUCAUUAGACGACCUUGAUAACCAACUGGUUUCAAUUGUAGCAUAAAAUUUACUGCCCUCCCUUCCCUUUUCUGAAACUGGAGGUGAUGUUUAGUUAUAUGCCACAUGAUUCAUCUGUGGAGCCUAUUCCUUUAUAUCUGAACCUGAAACACCAAUAUCCACCUGGUUGGCUGGUUUCAUUUAUCUUUGACCUCUAGAUUUUGUUGGUUCUCACUGGGUUUGAAGCACGCUGUUGUUUCGUUAUAUAGUUUGGUUUCAGAAAUCUUCUGAAUUCAGUAACAAGCAGAGUUCACAUAGGCGUUGAUAUGAUAGACGACAUUAUGUUAUACUCUUUUGUACAUCAUACCAAAUCAUUAAUGUAGCUUAUAUAUGUUGAGUUAUGUAAGUUAGCAAAUAAGUAAGAGUAUAGAGACUUGAAUGUAAAAUUGUUUAUAAAAGGGGGAAGAGGGGCACCAGCUCUGGAAGCUCUGAGAAAUUCCCCCAUUUGCUUCUCUUCUAUCUCAUCUCCAAAUCCCCAUUGAAUCUCUCUAAAUCCAACAAUAUAUAUCUUUACAUUGACAAAAACUUUUCAUGCCCAGCUAUCACUUGGCCAGAUCUGGUAUCUUAGUACAAAGGGUAGAACAUAGAUCGGAUAUAAUAAAAAUGGCAAGCUUGAAAGUUGUAAAGCAGCUGCCACCGUCGAUCCUCGCCGUCGGGUCCAAGUUGCAUUGGUGGCACCCGGGACGGUGCAACCUUGGGUACGGUAGACUUGCAAUUCGCUGCUUUACCUGGAAGAUAUGUAGCAGGCUAUUAGUGUCGUAUAUUGCAGUACCAUACUGUAUAAUAUAGAAAAUUGAAGAAAUUAAAAGAGAAGACCAAGUUGCAUUAUGUGUAUUCACCUCCUCCUAUGCCGGCCGCCUAGCUAUAGCAAGAGGGUGUGUGUGUCCUGGUUUUCUACUUGAAGAAGGCGCCGGUCUUCAUGGCGUCCUCGUUGGCCUCACCAAGAGCCGCCUCGCUGAGGUACUUGUCAGCAAGCUGCACACGCUUGACGUUCUCCUGCUCCUCCACCAGCAUGUGGCCGUACUCCAAGAGCUUCUCGAUCGUCAUCUUGGGCUGGUCGAACGUCGGCGGGCCGUCCUUGGAGUUGACGAGCUUCUUGCCGAUGUUCUCGAUGCCGGUCUCGGCGACCCACUUGCGGACCUCGUCAUCGUACACCCGGGCACGCAGGGCGCCAAAGAAGUCGAUGGACUGGCCGGGGAAGGUGUCGACGAGCUUGACGACGUCGGCUUCAGGGACGCCGUCGGUGCGGAAGAUGCCCUUGCAGACACCGAUCCGGUCCUCACGGGUGGGAGCCCAGUAGAACUUCUCCAUACGGCCGUCACGGAUGAGCGGCGCGUACAGGGUGGAGAAGUCGUUGCCGGUGACGACGAUGGGGACACGGGGGUUCUCCUCCUUGUUGUACAUGCCGGGGAGCUGCACGUUGGUGGGGUUGUCGGCGAUGUUCAUCAGGGUGGCGUUCACCAUCUGGUUGUUGACGGUAUACUGGGUGGUCCCGCCCAUGCGACCGGCACCGGCGUCGAGAUCGUUGAUGAAGAGGCAGCACAUCUUGCCCUUCUUGAUGAUGUCGGCGGCCUCACGGUACCGCUGCCUGAUGAGCUUGGCGGGCUCUCCGGCGUUGCCGCUCUCCAGCUCUCCGGCGCUCAUCAUGAUGGGGCUGCGUGUGUGUGGGGAAGAUGGUCAUUUAUCUUAUCUGCUGUAUAUAUGAAAUCAAACCAAAAUUAAAGAUUGUUGCUUACGUGAUGCCCAUCUUGGCGAAGACAAGCUCACACUGGAAGGAUUUCCCUUGACCCUUGCCUCCCCAGAUACCCAGGAUGAGGGGCACCUUGAUGUUUGGCAGGGUCAUGAAGUUCUUGGAGAGGUGGACGACGAGCUUGUCCAUGAAGGCCGGGGCGAUGUAGAAGCCAUCCUUCAUGUUGUCCCACCCGGUGUAGUCCCUCAAGCCCUGGCUGAGGUACUCGUAGGAGCUGAGCACGGCCUCGUGGGUGCCGUCUCCCAUGGGUGCCUGGAAGAGGGAGUCGACGAAACCCUUGCCCCUGGUGAUGUCCUGCUGGUCGUCGGAGAUGUCGUUGACGAGGCCCCUCCACCUGUCUUUGUCGGUCUGCUUGGUCUCGUCGACAUCCUUGGCGGCCAUGACCUUGAACCUGUUGGCGCUGGAGCUCUUGACAUGGUAGUUCACGGCCGCGGUCGCUUGCGUCCUGAGCUUCUUCCCGAGGAAGCUGGCCGGGGUGGAGGCCUGUAUGUACGUUGUCAAGGAUGCACUUUAAUCGUCAGGCGGCUCUCGCAUAUACGAUCGAUGCAUGAGAUGAUGGAAGAGAACUCACCGGAGCUCCGACGGUGGAGGAGAAGGCGGCCGCCAUCUCUGCGCUGCUUCUUCUUCCUCCUUGGGCGACCUUGCUAGGAAGGGCACGAGUGAUCUAUCACUGAUGGCCGCCGCUGCUGCUCUUCUCAAAGUACUGAGGCCGAGCCUUGCAAGGCAUUAAAUAAAGGAGCACGUGUGGUGGCCGUGUGUCUGCCGCUGCGGCUGCCAUGGCCUGUGGUCGGGAUCGGAGGUCAGGGAAGAGCCGCAAGCCGCGUGGUUGUGGAUCAGCUCCCACAUCUCUCGGAGGCCACACGCUGAGGAUGGGGUUUGGCAGACGUGGCGACAUCCCGGCGGGCCAAUGGGAUGGCUUGCUUGCACUGGCAACACUAAGAGAGUAAGAGACCAUCUCUUGGCUUGUGUUGCAUGACACUGAUAGGCCCCCGGGCCACAGGAAGGCUGCUCCGCCUGCAGGAUGGAUGAGGCAUCCAAAUUUUGUAUCCGCAUGCAGGUUUUCGGGAGUUUCUAAUUUAUUUGUGAUUCACUGGUACUCCCUUAGUUUCAAAUUUUAAGUCAUCCUAAAUUUCUUGGAGAGUCAAGCUAUUUUAUAUUUGAUCAAAAUUAUAUAGAUGAUUACAAAUAUUUGUGGCAUCGAAUAGAUAUACUAUGAAAAUAUAUUUAAUGAAAAAUCUAAUAGUACUUAUUUGGUAUCAUACUUUAUUUAUAAAUUUGAUCGUUUAUACUUUCAAGAAAGUUGGAAUAGAAAAUAUUUACGGAUUCAAGAAUUUAGCAUUUUGCCCUAAUUUUUCACGCAAGCAUGCGCUAGCUAGUACGACUAUAGUAAUUAUUAUGCAACUACAAUAAAUAAAAGCGAAUAGUUUAUGAAAGUGGUCAAUGUAUCUUGAUCAUUUAAAUUUCACUGCGCGAUCCUUCACCAUAUUGAAAUCAUCAAUAAUCGAAUUUGUCGUGACCUUCAUAGCAAUCUCUUUCUCAAUAUGAGACAAGAAAUUAGAAAUCGGAAAUAGUUUAGGAGACAUGGAUUUGCCUACAUUUGGUUUGAGUCGGAGGAGGAACAUCAAGAGCAGAAUGCGCGGUUGAUGUUGCCCUCCAUCGCGGCCGCGACCACUUGCCAUCGUUGGCGUGAUGCCGCAGUCGCAGAGCUAGAGUCCGUGGCGCUGAGCGUGGAUGUCGAGUCCACUGCAACUGCGAGAUUGAAAACGAAACAUAGCGAGGACGAGAUCUUGUCAUCUUAGCGAGCGGCUGCAGGUGGCUGUAUGCGUUGGGCAGUUGGAUUUAGCUCCUAUGAUCUACUGACCAUUGGCUAACAAAGGGUAGCAAACAUUUUUUUUUUGGUUGGGUGUGACCAUGGUCCCUGCCCAGUUCCGGGCCACAGGAAGGCUCCUCCGCCUGCAGGAUGGAUGAGACAUCCAAAUUUUGUAUCCUAGCUAAAGUGCACCACAAAUAUUAAUAUUAAUAUUCUCGUAUAUAUGCCUAUUACAAACUUGUUUCUUGUUAACGCCAAACAUGAAUUGAAGGCAGUUUACAAUUAAUUUGCAAAAAGAUAAAAGAGGACUGGGCAGAGCAUCAUCAGUUGUAGACGCAGCUGCCGUCGUCGCUUCUGGCUGUUGGGUCGAAGUUGCCGGCCUUUGGGUCGGUGCACCCCUCGGGCACGGGCACGCCCACCUGCUGCGCCGCCUUGCCGUAGUACAAGUUGCCGGCGGUGAUGGCUUCGUCGUGGUUGGCGUCGCCGAGCGCCGCCUCGCUGAGGUACUUGUCGGCCAGCUGGACGCGCUUGACGUUCUCCUGCUCCGCCACCAGCAUGUGGCCGUACUCGAGCAGCUUCUCCAGCGUCAUCUUGGGCUGCUGGAACGUCGGCGGGCCCUCCCUGGAGUUGACGAGCUUCCGGCCGAUGUUCUCGAUGCCGGUCUCGGCGACCCACCGGCGCACCUCGUCGUCGUACACCCGGGCUCGCAGCGCGCCGAAGAAGUCGAUGGACUGCCCCGGGAAGGUGUCGACGAGCUUCACGACGGCCUCGUCGGGGACGCCGUCGGUGCGGAAGAUGCCCUUGCAGACUCCUAUCCUAUCCUCGCGGGUGGGCGCCCAGUAGAACUUGUCCAUGCGGCCGUCGCGGAUGAGCGGCGCGUACAGCGUGGAGAAGUCGUUGCCGGUGACGACGAUGGGGACACGGGGGUUCUCCUCCUUGUUGUACAUGCCGGGGAGCUGCACGUUGGUGGGGUUGUCGGCGAUGUUCAUCAGGGUGGCGUUCACCAUCUGGUUGUUCACCGUGUACUGCGUGGUGCCGCCCAUGCGCCCGGCGCCGGCGUCGAGGUCGUUGAUGAAGAGCACGCACAUCCUGCCCUUGCUGAUGAUGUCGGCGGCCUCGCGGUAGCGCUGGCGGAUGAGCUUGGCGGGCUCGCCGGCGUUGCCGCUCUCCAGCUCGCCGGCGCUCAUCAUGACGGGGUUGAUGCCCAUCUUGGCGAAGACGAGCUCGCACUGGAAGGACUUACCCUGGCCCUUGCCCCCCCAGAUGCCCAGGAUGAGGGGCACCUUGAUGUUGGGCAGGGACAUGAAGUUCUUGGCGAUGUGGACCACCAGCUUGUCCAUGAACGCCGGAGCGAUGUAGUAGCCGUCCAUCAUGUUGUCCAGGUUGUACUGACGGAGACCCUGGCUGAGGUACUCGUAGGAGCUGAGCACGGCCUCGUGGGUGCCGUCGCCCAUGGGCGCCUGGAACAGGGAGUCCACCAGGCCCUUGCCGCGAGUGAUGUCCUGCUGGUCGUCGGAGAUGUCGUGGGCGAGGCCCCUCCACCUGUCGCUCUUGGUCU